rnacentral:lncRNA from 1 species
GGUUGAUCUAGGGAUCCUAGCCACAGUGAAUGGGGUCCAUGUGUGACCUGUGAAGUCCUUGCCCUAGGGAGUGCACACCCGGCUCUUCUGUCCUCAGCAGCUCCUGCAAUGAGCACCGGUGCCUGUGUGUGUUGAUGUGUCUGAGUGUCUGUUUGUCUCUCUGUGUGUGAGCAUGUUGUCAUUUGCUUCUGUGUAUCCUUAGGUGCCUAUGUUUCCUCAUGCCUGCAUACAUGCCUUAUUGUGUCCUUGUGUGUCUGUGUGUACCUUUAUACUUAAAAUAUCUAUAUAGCUUUAAAACUUUAUUAUUACUAUUUGGUGAGUGUGUGUAAGUGUGCAUGUGCAUUGACAUGUGAGAGAGUGGGCACAUGUGUGCCAUGGCCUGUGUGUGGAGGCUCAAGGAGAGCUUAGUGGAGUUAGUUUUCUCUUUCCACCUUUACGUGGCUUCUGGGGACUAAACUGAGGUGCUGAAAUGACUGCAGCAAGUGCUUUACCCACUGAGCUCUCUUGCUGGCCCCUACAUGGAUGUUUCAAUAUCGUCCGACAUUUGCCAAGCACUUAGUAUCUGUGCGCAAAUGUGGUAACAGCUUCAUGUAGACUACAGUUUAAUUUUCCCCAUUUGCCAGGAGAAAACAGAGGCACAGGGGAAUUAUUUGUCUGUAGAGCAAAUAACUUGUUUAGAAGGCAAAUUUACUUAUUGGCUAAUAAGUAAAUGGUACAGCUUGGGCCGUCUUUGCCGGCUCUGUGCAUAUGCUUGUAUGUGUCCCUGUGCGUCUGUGUGCAUACGUGUCUAUAUGUGUCAUUGUGUCCCAGUGUUUCUAUAGGUCUCUGUAUAUGCCUAUGUGCUUCUGUCUCUCUAUGUAUACAUGACUGUGUAUCUUUGUGUCUCUGUAUUUGUGCCUUUAUGUGUUCCUGUGUUUAUGUGUAACAAUGUGCGGAUGCCCAGGUGCAUUUGUGUGUGUGUGUGUGUGUGAGCAUGUGCACAUGUAUGUACAUUAUACAUAUACAUACACAUAAAUGCAUGGCACUUGCAUCCAUAUGCCAUGUAUGUGUGUGUGUGUUUGUUUGUAUGCACGGUGUACCUGUGGAGGUCACAGGGCAACCUUGGAUAUUGGCCUUUGACUUUUACCUUGCUUGAGGCAGGGUUUCUUGUUCCCACUGUGACCUUCUGUGGAUUCUCCUGCCUCAGCCUCCCUUCAUCUUGUGGAAGCACUGAGAUUAUAGAUCUAUUCUGCCCCAUCUGGCUUUACAUGGGCUCUGGGGAUUUGAACUAAGAUCCUUAUGUGUGUGUGGCAAGCCCACCAGGCUGCCUCCCUAAUCAUCAUACUGAAAUGUAGUUGUCACUGUAACAGUAGCCACUGUGCCUUAUGACCACUGUGUGCUCAAUGCCCCACAUAGCACCCAACACACACUGGGUCUACACCAACGUGGCCAGACUGAAAAAAGAGGGGAUAGAUGAGGCUCAGGGUCAGUGAUGGAUAAUUUACUGAAGUCAUAGGAAGACAAAUGUAAUAAGGUAGAAAUAAAGUCAGACCCUCUGUCAGUCUCCAUCCAGGAGGGCUUGAAAGGGCCCAGCAGCUGCCCAGUGACAACUGUCAUCGCUCACCCAGUGAUCUGUUAAUCAGGGCAGGUAGCAACAUCCCUGUUCCUACCCACUAGAUGUCAGUAGCAACCUCCAAUCCUUCCAGUUGUGACAACAGAAAUGCCAGGAGAUGUCAAAUAUUCCCCACAGGACAGCAGUGCCCCACUGAGAUCCACGGAGUUACAGUGACUUCAUUGCACAGCUGUUCCAUCAGGUCCCAGAUACUACCCCAUGACAGGACCUGGGAGAGCAAAAGCAAAGCCUUGGAAUCCCUUGAUCUCACGAAAUGCCGGACAGACGCAACCUAAUAAAGAAAAGAAGACAUACUUUGGCCCACAGUUUAAGGAUUUGGGGAUACCACCACCGUGGCUGCAGUAGCUUGAGAUAGUUAGCCAAGCACUGCAUCUGCAGCCGGGAAGCAGAGAGAUGGACGCCUGUGCUCAGCCUGCUUUGCUUUGCCUGGUCCAGGACCGCAGCUGAUCUCAAGCACCCCUACAGUUAGGGCUUCCAAGUGUAACUGGCUUGACCCACGCUACCAUCUCGUCAGCAAGAACGCACGCAGGACACUCGGAUCCGUCUGCAGUAAAGCUUUAAUGAAUCUCAAGAGAUAGAUGAUCAGCUUCAGGAGAGGAGACCCAGAGAGCAGAAAACCCUUCCCUUAUAUAGGCUGCGAAGUAAGUUUGGAGACGUGCACUAGCCGGAUUGGCUGCCCACCAUCAGCCAGAUGACGCCAUGGGAGAGGCAGGGCUCAGGUAAUGGAAAGAUACCCUGACGCCUGCGCACACUACUUGUUUUUCACCACGAGCAACAGAUGUCAGCGCCAUUUUGUAAUGGCGACCGUGAGGGCGGCUCCUCACACUGGCUAGUUUUGUGUCAACUUGACACAGCUGGAGUU